rnacentral:rRNA from 2 species
UCCGUUGGUGAACCAGCGGAGGGAUCAUUACUGAGUUUACGCUCUAUAACCCUUUGUGAACAUACCUAUAACUGUUGCUUCGGCGGGUAGGGUCUCCGCGACCCUCCCGGCCUCCCGCCUCCGGGCGGGUCGGCGCCCGCCGGAGGAUAACCAAACUCUGAUUUAACGACGUUUCUUCUGAGUGGUACAAGCAAAUAAUCAAAACUUUUAACAACGGAUCUCUUGGUUCUGGCAUCGAUGAAGAACGCAGCGAAAUGCGAUAAGUAAUGUGAAUUGCAGAAUUCAGUGAAUCAUCGAAUCUUUGAACGCACAUUGCGCCCGCCAGCAUUCUGGCGGGCAUGCCUGUUCGAGCGUCAUUUCAACCCUCAAGCUCUGCUUGGUGUUGGGGCCCUACAGCUGAUGUAGGCCCUCAAAGGUAGUGGCGGACCCUCCCGGAGCCUCCUUUGCGUAGUAACUUUACGUCUCGCACUGGGAUCCGGAGGGACUCUUGCCGUAAAACCCCCCAAUUUUCCAAAGGUUGACCUCGGAUCAGGUAGGAAUACCCGCUGAACUUA